rnacentral:rRNA from 3 species
AGUCAGAACAUGGGUGAUAAGGUCCGUGUUCGAAAGGGAAACAGCCCAGACCACCAGCUAAGGUCCCAAAAUAUAUGUUAAGUGGAAAAGGAUGUGGCGUUGCCCAGACAACUAGGAUGUUGGCUUAGAAGCAGCCAUCAUUUAAAGAGUGCGUAAUAGCUCACUAGUCGAGUGACACUGCGCCGAAAAUGUACCGGGGCUAAACAUAUUACCGAAGCUGUGGAUUGUCCUUUGGACAAUGGUAGGAGAGCGUUCUAAGGGCGUCGAAGCAUGAUCGCAAGGACAUGUGGAGCGCUUAGAAGUGAGAAUGCCGGUGUGAGUAGCGAAAGACGGGUGAGAAUCCCGUCCACCGAUUGACUAAGGUUUCCAGAGGAAGGCUCGUCCGCUCUGGGUUAGUCGGGUCCUAAGCUGAGGCCGACAGGCGUAGGCGAUGGAUAACAGGUUGAUAUUCCUGUACCACCUAGUAUCGUUUUAAUCGAUGGGGGGACGCAGUAGGAUAGGCGAAGCGUGCUGUUGGAGUGCACGUCCAAGCAGUAAGGCUGAGUGUUAGGCAAAUCCGGCACUCAUAAGGCUGAGCUGUGAUGGGGAGAGGAAAUUGUUUCCUCGAGUCGUUGAUUUCACACUGCCGAGAAAAGCCUCUAGAUAGAUAACAGGUGCCCGUACCGCAAACCGACACAGGUAGUCAAGAUGAGAAUUCUAAGGUGAGCGAGCGAACUCUCGUUAAGGAACUCGGCAAAAUGACCCCGUAACUUCGGGAGAAGGGGUGCUCUUUAGGGUUCACGCCCAGAAGAGCCGCAGUGAAUAGGCCCAAGCGACUGUUUAUCAAAAACACAGGUCUCUGCUAAACCGUAAGGUGAUGUAUAGGGGCUGACGCCUGCCCGGUGCUGGAAGGUUAAGAGGAGUGGUUAGCUUCUGCGAAGCUACGAAUCGAAGCCCCAGUAAACGGCGGCCGUAACUAUAACGGUCCUAAGGUAGCGAAAUUCCUUGUCGGGUAAGUUCCGACCCGCACGAAAGGCGUAACGAUUUGGGCACUGUCUCAACGAGAGACUCGGUGAAAUCAUAGUACCUGUGAAGAUGCAGGUUACCCGCGACAGGACGGAAAGACCCCGUGGAGCUUUACUGUAGCCUGAUAUUGAAAUUCGGCACAGCUUGUACAGGAUAGGUAGGAGCCUUUGAAACGUGAGCGCUAGCUUACGUGGAGGCGUUGGUGGGAUACUACCCUAGCUGUGUUGGCUUUCUAACCCGCACCACUUAUCGUGGUGGGAGACAGUGUCAGGCGGGCAGUUUGACUGGGGCGGUCGCCUCCUAAAAGGUAACGGAGGCGCUCAAAGGUUCCCUCAGAAUGGUUGGAAAUCAUUCAUAGAGUGUAAAGGCAUAAGGGAGCUUGACUGCGAGACCUACAAGUCGAGCAGGGUCGAAAGACGGACUUAGUGAUCCGGUGGUUCCGCAUGGAAGGGCCAUCGCUCAACGGAUAAAAGCUACCCCGGGGAUAACAGGCUUAUCUCCCCCAAGAGUUCACAUCGACGGGGAGGUUUGGCACCUCGAUGUCGGCUCAUCGCAUCCUGGGGCUGUAGUCGGUCCCAAGGGUUGGGCUGUUCGCCCAUUAAAGCGGUACGCGAGCUGGGUUCAGAACGUCGUGAGACAGUUCGGUCCCUAUCCGUCGUGGGCGUAGGAAAUUUGAGAGGAGCUGUCCUUAGUACGAGAGGACCGGGAUGGACAUACCUCUGGUGUACCAGUUGUCGUGCCAACGGCAUAGCUGGGUAGCUAUGUAUGGACGGGAUAAGUGCUGAAAGCAUCUAAGCAUGAAGCCCCCCUCAAGAUGAGAUUUCCCAACUUCGGUUAUAAGAUCCCUCGAAGAUGACGAGGUUAAUAGGUUCGAGGUGGAAGCGUGGUGACACGUGGAGCUGACGAAUACUAAUCGAUCGAAGACUUAAUCAA